GACAGAGGUGCCGAGCGUUAGGCGGAAUCACUGGGCUUAAAGCGUGUGUAGGCGGACGGGUAAGUACCUUGUGAAAUCCCACGGCUCAACCGUGGAACGGCUGGGUAUACUGCCCGUCUUGAGCCACUUAGGGGCUGUCGGAACAAAUGGUGGAGCGGUGAAAUGCGUAGAUAUCAUUUGGAACGCCAAAGGUGAAAACAGACAGCUGGGAGUGUGCUGACGCUGAGACACGAAAGCCAGGGGAGCGAACGGG
rnacentral:rRNA from 1 species